rnacentral:rRNA from 1 species
CCUACGGGAGGCUGCAGUGGGGAAUAUUGGACAAUGGGGGCAACCCUGAUCCAGCCAUGCCGCGUGUGUGAAGAAGGCCCUCGGGUUGUAAAGCACUUUCAGUGAGGAAGAACGCCUGGUGGUUAAUACCCAUCAGGAAAGACAUCACUCACAGAAGAAGCACCGGCUAACUCCGUGCCAGCAGCCGCGGUAAUACGGAGGGUGCGAGCGUUAAUCGGAAUUACUGGGCGUAAAGCGCGCGUGGGUGGCUUGAUAAGCCGGUUGUGAAAGCCCCGGGCUCAACCUGGGAACGGCAUCCGGAACUGUCAAGCUAGAGUGCAGGAGAGGAAGGUAGAAUUCCCGGUGUAGCGGUGAAAUGCGUAGAGAUCGGGAGGAAUACCAGUGGCGAAGGCGGCCUUCUGGACUGACACUGACACUGAGGUGCGAAAGCGUGGGUAGCAAACAGGAUUAGAUACCCGAGUAGUC